rnacentral:miRNA from 1 species
AGAUUGAAGCAGCUAUGGUCUAGUGCUGUGUGGAAGACUAGUGAUUUUGUUGUUCUGAUAUAAAAUGACAACAAAUCACAGCCUGCCUCAUAGCGUGGACUCCUGUCGAC